rnacentral:siRNA from 1 species
UGCAACCGUUGGUGUCACAAUGGA